AGUGAACGCUGGCGGUAGGCCUAACACAUGCCAGUCGAACGACAGCACAGUAAGAGCUUGCUCUUACGGGUGGCGAGUGGCGGACGGGUGAGGAAUACAUCGGAAUCUACUUUUUCGUGGGGGAUAACGUAGGGAAACUUACGCUAAUACCGCAUACGACCUACGGGUGAAAGCAGGGGAUCUUCGGACCUUGCGCGAUUGAAUGAGCCGAUGUCGGAUUAGCUAGUUGGCGGGGUAAAGGCCCACCAAGGCGACGAUCCGUAGCUGGUCUGAGAGGAUGAUCAGCCACACUGGAACUGAGACACGGUCCAGACUCCUACGGGAGGCAGCAGUGGGGAACAUUGGACAAUGGGCGCAAGCCUGAUCCAGCCAUACCGCGUGGGUGAAGAAGGCCUUCGGGUUGUAAAGCCCUUUUGUUGGGAAAGAAAAGCAGCAGGUUAAUACCCCGCUGUUCUGACGGUACCCAAAGAAUAAGCACCGGCUAACUUCGUG
rnacentral:rRNA from 1 species